CUUAAUUUUCCACAUUUUGUACAUACGUGUGUGUGUGUGGUGCAAAGAGGCCUUGAGAGCAAGGAAGAUUGAAAAACAUUUUCACUGCUGUAUAUUUGCAAGGACUGUGAGGGUGCACUUUCACCCCCUACCUCACCUGGCUCAUGGAAUACCAGGCUGUGAAGAGACAUAGUCAAAUAACUUCACUGUUUUUUCAGAAGGAGAAAAAGCUUCAACACUCAGGCACGAUGAUGUUGAUAUGUACAGCCUGAGACCAAACUGAGGAAGAAAGAGAAUAUUGAAAACCAGCAACAACAUGAACAACAGUGCUCAUCUCUGAGCUCCCUGGUUGGAACAAGCACAUUACCCAAAGCCACAGGAGCGAUCCAUCUCAGGGUCCUGGUGUAGGACUGAGGAUUUCCUGGCUCCCAACCUUGUGCUCCAGCUCCAAAGAUGCAUUUCUCACAUGUGACUUUCCAAAAGAUUUCAGCUAACUUCAUCCAUGCUGUCCACCUGUAUGGGCCACUGGAAAUGAAAGAUUUAUAACUCCUUGCCAGCGGUUGUUGAUUGUGUCAAGUCCACAUGGAUCUCUUGGUGAUUAGCUCUCAGAUACGCUAGUUCUGUGUAAAGAUGUCCCUGUAAGAAUGAAAACCACCCAGAAACUGCAGAACUGUACCUGGUAUCAAAUGAAGAAAACUUGUGGUAAAAGUCAUAACCUUUGGUGGCAUGAAAGGGAGAACCCUGAUAACUGUGAAGUAAAAUUUCAGGACUUGCUCAACUAAUGAGCUCUCCCAAUACAUCCCUUUGGCGCUUUUGCCAGGCUUUGCCUGACCUGUGUUUAUAGGGCUGAAAGUCACCUGGCAGAGGGUGAACAGGAUGGCUGACACCCUGAGCAUCCACCUUAUGGACAUGUGAGGAGGUCUGCUGUCAGAGAAGGCCUGCUGCCAGGACCUGUGGUGGGAAGUCUCAAUAGUUACUGCCCUUCACCAGCUGCUGGGCUGAUGUUCUCUUUGCCACUCAAGGGAAGAAGAUAAGAGAGAAAGACAGGGGUUGAAUGGCAGGAAUGGAUGAAGAGUAUGAAACAGGAGUGACAGUGAGAAAGAAAGACAUAACAAGGAGGAGGAAAGGAAAGGAAGCUCAAGGAGCCAUGCAGCUCUAACAGCAGGAGAUGUGACAACUCAUACUCAGGUUUGGGAUGAAUACUGCCAGAUGUGCUCCUUGCAGGUUGUCUUCUAAUCCUCAGAACAUAGAACAGAAACUGGGCAAUGUCCAGCAGUGGCAGUCAGGAUCUCCACUUCUUGUCAGCUGGUUGGAAAGAGAAGUAAAUGGUGCUUUGGUAGGAAAUGGAUUUCCCAGCUUGGCAUCCAUUAAACCUCCCAGAACUUCCACACAACAUCUCCAGAAGCAGAUCAAGAGGUAACACAGGCUAUGCAGAUGGAAGCCAAAUUUCAUCCCUAAGCAAAGAUUUUACUCUCUAAAGUGAGAAUCGCCAGCAACUUUGUGGAGUCUAUAGCGAAAACCUCAUUGCUAUCAACUGGGUCUGGACAGUGCACAGACAUAAUAACAAAGGGCAUUGGCAUUAACUCCUGAGGUUGACUUUCUUUUCUUCUGUAAAAAACGUUUCUCAAGAAAAGCAGGGCCUGGUCAGACUUGGCUCUCUAGAUAUCUGACUCCUACUAAGCUCUUUCCUCUUUGACAAGAACAUUCACAACCUUUUUGCACACUGGAAACAUGAAAAGAGUGGGUGAGGUGUUUGAUACGGCAACAAUUCCCUUGCAGGGCAACUAGGACGAAAGGAAUCAGUGUGUUUAAGGAAAACCAGAGUGAUGGAAUUGACACAUUGAAAGUGAUGCUUAUGUGCUGAAUUUCUUUCUAAUCUAAUGAAUUAGGUAACUGUUUCUGUUGUUACUGUUUGAGUAUUGGAAUUGUUCAAAGGUCUUUGGUAUUCAGACAUGGAGUCGGAACAAGAAGACAGGAAAUAACUUAAUGAAAUGUAUUUCUCAGACUUUGAUGCUGUGACAGAAAAGCUCAUAAAUGAUCUAUGGUCCAUUGAACCUUUUCCAAUACUACUUGUGAAUUCCAGUGACUAUGAAGUAUACUUCAUGGACUUCAAAAUGAAAACUGCUGAAAAGGAAAUUCCUUGAUUUGGAAGGGAAAGCUAGUCUUGGUUCCACAGUAAGUCUCAAUAAACUGAAGUGAGAGAAUACAGAGGGAAGAUUGUACAACAGUUCAUACGGUUGAGCAACAUUUAUUUUUCUGAGAAAUAUUGUCUUCUUUCAGUCUGGAAUAGCUAAACUUUUAGGACAUUGCUGUAAUAAAGGUACAUUUGCAAAAGAUUUAUUUCACUAUAAAGUGCCUGAAAAAAUAGAGUAUUGAAUAUUUUAUUAUUCAGUAUUAAUGUUUAAUAUUUAUCUUUCAGAAGUCACGUUCAGAAAAAUAAGCAAUAUAUUACUUGUAGAGUCUUCAUGGAAGAAAAGAUGGUGGUUAAAGUCCAUAUUGAGAAACAAUUUUAUGCUGACAAUUGAUGAAGUCGUUCCCUCAAAAAGAUUUCUUGAUCUUGGCUUUAGACAUGAUACCAUAAAAAGCCAGUCACUUUAUCUAGUUUUUUUUUCCCCUCUAGACUUGCACUGAAGCAUGGGUUUACAUCAUUAUCAUGGAUGUUUGGUUUUCUGAAACAUAACAAAAAAGGUGCCAUUGUGAGAGAACAGGGAAUGAGGGAGGAAGGCAAAGAAUGACUCCUACGUGAUUUGCUGAAACAGAAAUGCAAACAAGAAAAGAGACAGCUUACUCCAAGUGGCAAAGCCACGUAUUUAUGCUCCUGCCCAGUCAGCUGGUCUGUAUUUAAUUUCUCUAUUUUGGUUGUGAGUGACUAUGGCAGAAUGUGAUCCAAGCAAAAGUUCAAGAAGUUACCACCCCUCAGCUGAGACACUGCAAUAUCUGCAGGUAAGUUCCUAGUUUGCCCCAGCUGCAAUUUAAUCGACUUAACCCACACUUCCUUCAUCAUUCCUUGCUUGUGAUUUGACAUUCCACCAUAAACAACAUCCUCUUGAUAUCCGCCAAUUCCUUUGACCUCAUCUAGCAAUACAGUAGGUUGAGCCAGAAAGCAAGCACUUACUUUCAGUUGUCUUUGAUUUCUCCCCCUCGCCCAUUUGGGGAUACACAAUUGCAGUUUCAAACAUUAAUUACUAAGAUGUGUUGGUAAAAUAGGUAGGCACAACCACGUAUUGCAUGUACCUGCUAUGUAAGUACAUGACACAUGUUAUGUAGUGGUUCACAUUGCUGCUUCUUAUUGUAGCUGGGCAAACACUGUGAAAAAUACCUUCUACGAUAUGUUCAACAGCUGAAUUAUUUGGCUUUAGCCAUGUCAAACUUGUUUCUUUCCACAUGAAUAUUUCUUUCCCAGGAAUAUUCUGCUUAUCAAAUUUUACUGGCACUUGUCUAGGUGUGGAGAAAACUGUAUCUGUAAAUAUUUGCUGAAACUGAGUUUUCAAUAUGCGGAAGUACUUAUGUGAGUUGUAGGUGCUGGACCACUCAACCUAUAAGUGUCAGAGCCUCAGGAUUAUGUCUGGCACUCUGUGUGGUUCAGGGAAGGCAAUAUUUGCAAGAGCAGCUCAGAGCCAAUCUUUAAGCUCCCUGGUACUUAUCAUUGACUACUGAAUGCCAAUAUGAUCCUGAAGAGGAAAAUUAUUAUGAGGCUACUAGACACUCAAGUCAUCUUGUAUCUGAAAUUCUUCCUACUCUUUUGCGUAGGCAUGAGAAAACUCUUUCAACUUGUCACAAUUCCUGCUAGUAUCCAGCUACCCACUUGGAAAUGUCUAUUUUGCUGUAUGUGCUUUUCUCCCUGGAAGCUUGUCAAGUGGCAUAGUGGGAUCCUUGUUUUCUAAGAUAAAUAUUUUUGGGAUGAUAAAUGCUAUCACUCACCUCUUUUCCAGAACAUUGAUAUUAUGACCAGUUUUUCCGGGACAGGAUUUUGAUGGCAAGAUACUUUGUCCAUCAAUUUAAAAAAAAAAAAUCCAGGUUUUAGAAGUUUGUGAUUAUCUUUAAACAACGUGGAAAAGUGACAGCCCUUCAAAACUAUUAAAGUAAAACAUCAUGCAAGCAUAUAUUGUUUUGUUUGAAAAAUGCUUUGCUGUUUUUUACUUUGAAACCAAGGUCUAUUGCUCUUUCACAUUCCAUUUUUUAUUAUUCUAAUGGUGCCAUAUUGCUUCAUGAACAAAAGUUACUCAUACUGUAACUAACAUUUAGGAUAUUGGCUUGCAUUUGCUCUGCUGUAAUUGAUUUACUGUCUUGGGUGAGAAACCACAUGGAACAGUGUCUGAGCGUAAUUAUGACUAAUUGCACCUGUACUCCUCAAAGAAAACUCUACCAAAAUCUCAACUCAGCAUAAUUCUGCUCUCAGUUGUACUUGAAAAGAAUAAAUCACUGAACGACUCCAUGGAAAGAGUUUUAUUUUUCAGAGGAAAUCAACAUUUUCCAUACACUGCUUCACAGUUCAGAGAAAUAUGGGAGCCAAGAAACUAAAGAGCCCCUCUGAGGUCGUAUGAUAUUGAACUAAGAUAUUUGAUUUGUCCCACUGUGGUCACACCUCAGUUUCUCAGAGAAGCCUUUGGAAGUGUAAUAGGACCCAUUACUGUGGUGUAAAAUCUAUCGUGUUGAAACAGUGAAGAUAUAUUUAAAGGCAAUUUUUCCUUUACCUUUUUUGGUUUUUUUUGAAGAAGUAGUUUGAAUUACAAGGCGACUGAUUUUGUUUCUUAUAUGCAAAUCUGUAUCAUCAUAUGCCUUUUGGGACUCCAUGAUGGGAAAAUAUCUGUAGUUAAAAUUUUUAAGGAAAUUUUGCUAGAUUAAGAAUGUAGCUUAUUUUUACUUGCAUAUAAUGGCAAAAUUCUCUGUAUUGAUUUUUUAAGUCUUUGAAAGUAAAUAAGUACUAUAGAUUACAGACAAACAGCAUUUGUUAAGGAUAUCAUUGAAAAAGUUUGUUGAAAUAUUUCCUGGGGAAAAUGCCUUUCCAGUGAAACUCAAGUCUUCCUCAAAAUACUGGUUAUUAUGGAAAAAAUAAACAUCAUGCCCUUUCAAAACCAUUUUUAUGCAUCUUUUGUACCUAGACAAACAUCUCCUGGAAAAGUAUAAAAAUAAUAAUUAUAAAAAGAGGUAGAUGUCAUUUUCGAUAAUUUUUUUUUGCAUGUAAUUUUCCAAACAGCUGUUUCUUUCAGACCUACCAUAAUAAAUCAGUACUUGUCAGUAAUCAAAGAAAAGAAUAUAUCAGAUAUCAAACAUAUUCCAGUUUCAAGCUUCCAAAGGAUUACUAUUAAAAACAGCAAGAAAAAAUACAUGACAUAAUGUAUUAAAAUACUUGAGGGCCUUUUUAAAGGGAAAAGUAAAUCCAACCCUUCCUUUUGCAGAUUGUGUUUCACUCUCAGCUAAGGCAGACUUGUGAAAGUGCUAUCUGGAUGUUCUUGAUUGCACCUUCAGGUAGUGCGCUGAGAUCUGGGGCUUCUUCGGCUAGGGACAACACUUGAGAUGUUUUAGUGGAAAUUCAUGCAGAAGCAAAGAGUAGGAGGUGGACUUCGCUGGCCCUGGCUUGUCCAAGCUUUGUCCAACACCUGAGCUGUGCUCAGCUGUGCUCAUGAAAGCUGCACUGUAGCACUCUGUUUUCCUCGCUUAGCCUCUCCAGAUAGCUGCAUUGGCUUUUGCCUGCCCCAAAACAUUGCAAGUCAGCUUUGCCUUCUGCAGGGCUUCACCCGCAUUUUGCUCCUAACAAUUUUCUGUGUCAGUAAAGCUGUCUGAGAAUGUUAAUUUUUUCAGCUAUGUAUUGCAUACGGUUCAAAUUUCACUCAGAAAGUAUCAAGAUGCUUUUGAGUUUUUCCGACAUCUUAUGGGGCCUUUCUGAGAUAGUCCUUACAUUUUGUCUGGCAAAUCAAGUACACAGGUGUAUUACAGGAAUUUUAUGCUGGCUGCACAUAAUAGAAGUUAUAUGUAAGCUGGGAGCUCAGCUCUUUGAGCAGAAAAUGUGGUAAAGAAUCCAGCCUAAACGAAGCAAUUGUUCUUCAUCAGGUAGACACCCAAAUUCAGCCUUAAGCUUAACUUUUUUUUUUCUAAAUGAAAUUUUAACAUCUUUUAACAGAAAAAAAUAAGUUUUUGGUCUGUAAUCUCUCUUGAUCUGUUCUAAUCUGCUGGCUCUUUGUUCUGGAAAGUUUGGAAACGAAGCAAUUGUCAAGUCACUAAUUUCUGCAUUCAGUCUUGCGUGUGAGUGCCCUACAUGGCCAUUGAAAGCCCGGGCAGUGGUUGACAUGGAUAAUGAUGUGUAUGUUUUUGUUGUUCUGGCUGUGUGAGGGCUGACUUUCUCCAGUGAGACUGCUUCAGUGAAAGAGUUUGGGUUUGCUUCCUAACAGUACUUUUAAGUAUGUACCUAAUAUUUGCUUUUUCUAAAGUGAGGUCCCAGAAGUUGUUUUACUGGAGUGUCUACAGAGUGUAGAAAGGAAAGUGACAAAAGUUAUGUUUUUUUUAUCUGAAUGACAACUUGCUUGCACCCGGUGGGUUGGCUUUCUUCUCAUGUCUUGUUCCUUGAGGUGUAUAAGACUUAAUGCACAGAGACCAACUCUCUUGUGAUAAAGCACAAUGUUGUGAAUAGCUGUAGGAAAACCGUUCAGAAGCCUGGCAUUAUGUUUUCCUUCCACAAGUAAUCCCUGUCAGAAGUGUAAUACCAGACUGUCAUCCUUGUGAGGGAACCAUUGCAGGACCCAGUUGGCGGUGGCUUGUGGCAUAGCCCAGGGGAAAAACCUCCGGGAUCAUUUCCCAUAAACUCUAGCUGAACCUAGUAAAAUAUUGGCCACUCUGCAUUCUGCAGUAGAUGAAUGUGACCUCCAUUUAUCUUUCAUAUUAUAAAUAUUUUCUGUGAUUUAAGGCAUUCAUUGCUUCCUUUUGCUGUCAAGGAAAUGAAGGAAAUACAUUUCAGUAGCACUUUACAGAAUGUACUUAUCUUCAGUCAUUGCUGUAAAUAUGCAGUGAUCAUAUUCUCACUGUGCAAAAUAAAUCAGAAUGUUUUGCCAGUUAGCUCACUCAGGUCUCAACUUAAGUUAUGACUAGUGUCAUUUUUUUUCCCUUGUUAAUAAACUUCUUAGCUACAUCACAUUUUUAAUGCUUUUGACUGUUUCACAGUUAUGGUUAAU